rnacentral:rRNA from 1 species
CAGCAGCCGCGGUAAUACCGAGGGUGCAAGCGUUAAUCGGAUUUACUGGGCGUAAAGGGCGCGUAGGUGGUUAUGUAAGUGAGAUGUGAAAUCCCCGGGCUCAACCUGGGAACUGCAUCUUAUACUGCGUAGCUGGAGUGCAGUAGAGGGUAGCGGAAUUUCCGGUGUAGCGGUGAAAUGCGUAGAUAUCGGAAGGAACACCAGUGGCGAAGGCGGCUACCUGGACAACACUGACGCUGAGGCACGAAAGCGUGGGGAGCAAACAGGAUUAGAUACCCCUGUAGUCCCUGUCUCUUAUACC